rnacentral:rRNA from 1 species
CCUACGGGGGGCAGCAGUCGAGAAUCAUUCACAAUGGGGGAAACCCUGAUGGUGCGACGCCGCGUGGGGGAAUGAAGGUCUUCGGAUUGUAAACCCCUGUCAUGUGGGAGCAAAUUAAAAAGAUAGUACCACACGAGGAAGAGACGGCUAACUCUGUGCCAGCAGCCGCGGUAAUACAGAGGGCGCAAGCGUUGUUCGGAAUCACUGGGCGUAAAGCGUGCGUAGGCUGUUUCGUAAGUCGUGUGUGAAAGGCGCGGGCUCAACCCGCGGACGGCACAUGUUACUGCGAGGCUAGAGUAAGGGAGGGGGAGCCGGAAUUCUCGGUGUAGCAGUGAAAUGCGUAGAUAUCGAGAAGAACACUCGUGGCGAAGGCAGGUUCCUGGACAUUAACUGACGCUGAGGCACGAAGGCCAGGGGAGCGAAAGGGAUUAGAUACCCGGGUAGUC